rnacentral:tRNA from 1 species
AGUAUUGUGCCGGAAUAAACGGGUUGUGUUGAUGAUGCAAAUGAUGAGAAUUUUCUCCAUUAUUA